UGGGGAAUAUUGCACAAUGGAGGGAACUCUGAUGCAGCGACGCCGCGUGAACGAAGAAGGCUUUCGAGUCGUAAAGUUCUUUUAUAUGGGAAGAUAAUGACGGUACCAUAAGAAAAAGCCCCGGCUAACUACGUGCCAGCAGCCGCGGUAAUACGUAGGGGGCUAGCGUUGUCCGGAAUCACUGGGCGUAAAGGGUUCGCAGGCGGAAAUGCAAGUCAGGUCUAAAAGGCAGUAGCUUAACUACUGUAAGCAUUUGAAACUGCAUAUCUUGAGAAGAGUAGAGGUAAGUGGAAUUUUUAGUGUAGCGGUGAAAUGCGUAGAUAUUAAAAAGAAUACCGGUGGCGAAGGCGACUUACUGGGCUCAUUCUGACGCUGAGGAACGAAAGCGUGGGUAGCAAACAGG
rnacentral:rRNA from 1 species